GUAACGAGCGCAACCCUUGUCCUUAGUUACCAGCACGUUAUGGUGGCACUCUAAGGAGACUGCCGGUGACAAACCGGAGGAAGGUGGGGAUGACGUCAAGUCAUCAUGGCCCUUACGGCCUGGGCUACACACGUGCUACAAUGGUCGGUACAAAGGGUUGCCAAGCCGCGAGGUGGAGCUAAUCCCAUAAAACCGAUCGUAGUCCGGAUCGCAGUCUGCAACUCGACUGCGUGAAGUCGGAAUCGCUAGUAAUCGUGAAUCAGAAUGUCACGGUGAAUACGUUCCCGGGCCUU
rnacentral:rRNA from 1 species